rnacentral:lncRNA from 1 species
CACCGAGUCAAGUCAUCAUGACGACCCACGCUCUAGCUGCUCUCUUAGUUAUCGGCAUCGCUUCUGCUCUUCCUGUCAAGGAUCCUGAAAGCUUGAGGGUUAAGCGAGGCUUCCUGAGUGGAGGAGGUGGCCUUGGUGGCGGCGGCUAUGGCGGUGGCUUUGGUGGAGGUGGUGGCGGCUAUGGCGGUGG